UACGAAGGGGGCUAGCGUUGUUCGGAAUCACUGGGCGUAAAGCGCACGUAGGCGGAUCUUUAAGUCAGAGGUGAAAUCCUGGAGCUCAACUCCAGAACUGCCUUUGAUACUGGAGAGCUUGAGUCCGGGAGAGGUGAGUGGAACUGCGAGUGUAGAGGUGAAAUUCGUAGAUAUUCGCAAGAACACCAGUGGCGAAGGCGGCUCACUGGCCCGGUACUGACGCUGAGGUGCGAAAGCGUGGGGAGCAAACAGG
rnacentral:rRNA from 1 species